AAUUGAUAACAGAUUUGUAUGUCAUUACAUAUACAGAAUUGAGAAUGCUUGGUUGAGUGUUCUGUGGAUUGGUUCCCUAGUAAACAAUUUGGAGCCUCUUUAGGAGUAUCUAUGAUACCCUGCAUCAUGAACAUUUUUUAGUUGAGUUAUAUAUAUCAUUAUGCUUCAAUUUUUUUAAUUUCAAGGAUUUUGGUGGCAUUUAUAACGUGUUGUUGCAAGUAUUGAUUGAGGUUUUGCUUAUUGUGGUGUAUUUCUGCAUUGGGAUUUGAAAAGGAAAGAAUUUCAAUCCAAGGAAGUUGAAUUGACAGGAAGGGAAAGCUCUGCAAUGGGAUUUCUUCUUGGCUCUUUGAUAUUUGAGUUCCCUUAGUUGAUAUUUGCUGAGAUUCGAGCACUUCCCUUCUCAGAGGUCUUUCUUUUAAAUCAAUUGAUGGGUUAUUCAUGCAAUUGUGGAACUCUUGCUGGUGUUGACAAAUUUUGAUGAUAUGUUCAGUCCCUGUAAUUUUUUUGCUUAUGCUUUGAACCAUUCAUAAGAACAAUGGCAUUCAUAUGCAUGCAUGGUUUUUCCUCGUGGUAAAUGGAUUUGGAAGCAAUGUGUACAAAAUCUAAGCAUCUAAAAUAUUUUAUUCCACUUGUCUUGAAAUUUGAGUUUUGUUGAUAAAGAUGAUUCGUUGUAUGUUUCAAAAUGUUUAGGAGAAGAAGGUUGAUAAGGAGUCUUGUAAUAGUUACCUUGUUCAAGGGAAGUUAUUUCAUUUUAUUGAUUUGUCCUCCCAUAAGAAGUAGUGAGAUAAUGAUCUCUUAUAGAAAUUUAUACAGUGAAGUUGUAGUUCCACCAUUAGUAACUUGAUGGACAAAUUCCUCCAUAAUUGUAUAGUCAUAAAAUUCCACUA
rnacentral:lncRNA from 1 species